UGGGGAAUUUUGGACAAUGGGCGAAAGCCUGAUCCAGCAAUGCCGCGUGUGUGAAGAAGGCCUUCGGGUUGUAAAGCACUUUUGUCCGGAAAGAAAUCCUUGGCUCUAAUACAGUCGGGGGAUGACGGUACCGGAAGAAUAAGCACCGGCUAACUACGUGCCAGCAGCCGCGGUAAUACGUAGGGUGCAAGCGUUAAUCGGAAUUACUGGGCGUAAAGCGUGCGCAGGCGGUUUGCUAAGACCGAUGUGAAAUCCCCGGGCUCAACCUGGGAACUGCAUUGGUGACUGGCAGGCUAGAGUAUGGCAGAGGGGGGUAGAAUUCCACGUGUAGCAGUGAAAUGCGUAGAGAUGUGGAGGAAUACCGAUGGCGAAGGCAGCCCCCUGGGCCAAAUACUGACGCUCAUGCACGAAAGCGUGGGGAGCAAAACAGGAUUAGAUACCCUGGUAGUCCACGCCCUAAACGAUGUCAACUAGUUGUUGGGGAUUCAUUUCCUUAGUAACGUAGCUAACGCGUGAAGUUGACCGCCUGGGGAGUACGGUCGCAAGAUUAAAACUUAAAUGAAUUGACGGGGU
rnacentral:rRNA from 1 species